UGGGGAAUAUUGGGCAAUGGGGGAAACCCUGACCCAGCAACGCCGCGUGAAGGAUGAAGUAUUUCGGUAUGUAAACUUCGAAAGAAUAGGAAGAAUAAAUGACGGUACUAUUUAUAAGGUCCGGCUAACUACGUGCCAGCAGCCGCGGUAAUACGUAGGGACCAAGCGUUGUUCGGAUUUACUGGGCGUAAAGGGCGCGUAGGCGGCAUGACAAGUCACUUGUGAAAUCUCUGGGCUUAACCCAGAACGGCCAAGUGAUACUGUCGCGCUAGAGUGCAGAAGGGGCAAUCGGAAUUCUUGGUGUAGCGGUGAAAUGCGUAGAUAUCAAGAGGAACACCUGAGGUGAAGACGGGUUGCUGGGCUGACACUGACGCUGAGGCGCGAAAGCCAGGGGAGCAAACGGGAUUAGAUACCCUAGUAGUCCCUGAGCGGGCUGGCAAGGCGCAU
rnacentral:rRNA from 1 species